UGUGAUCUGUUGUGCUGACCCAGUGUCCACACCAAUUCUAAAGAGACUGCUGCAAAUGGGAGCAAGUGCUACAAUGUGGAACAUAAGUGUUAUUCACAUUAAUUUUUCACAGUAUUUUACUGCUAAAGUGAAAUGGGAUGUGUUAAAUGGCACUUUCGUAGCUAAGGCUUCAUUUUAUUUAUGAUCUGUGUAUUAUUUAACUCCAUAUUUACAUUUAAGAGUCACCUGUACUCCUCAUGUAUUGCUGAGUGUUAGCAAUUUUGAUUUAAAGAUACUGCUUUGCUAUAAAAGUGCCAACAUCUGCUGCUACUGCUUCAACAAAACCUUCUUCACUCAUCAGUGUCACAGAGGAGUUGGCAUAACCAUUACAGUGCUUACUCCACAUCUCCUCUACCUGUUUUCCACAAAAGGUUUUGUUCUCAUUCCUGUCAUUUUGGUUUCAACAUUUCACUCUGCGAGUUUGUAAUGGAAUCAGGCUCCUGACUGAAAGUGGUGCCUUUUAAAGCACUUGAUGUAUGUUAUGGUAAUGUGAAAAUAACCCCACAACAGCCCAGCCUCUCCCCUUCCCCCAGCUGUCUUUAAUUCUGUGAAGUGCUGGCAUUUGUCUGUUGCUGUGUUUCAUUGUUAUGGAUUGGUGCAGUUGACUAAGCAGGCAUCACACAAUGUAAAUAUAUUGCUUUUUGUUCAUUUCUCUCCUGCAGCUGAGCUCAUCCUGCUCUCAUGAGCACGCCCUGUGUGUGCUCAGUGACUGAGGGACACCUUCCACCAGACCAGGGUGCUCCAAGCCCCAUCCAACCUGGCCUUGAACACUUCCAGGGAUGGAGCAGCCACAUCCUCUCUGUACAACUUAUCCCAGACCUCAGCACCCUCACAGCACUGGAUUUCUUUCUAACACCUAAUGUAAAGCUGUCCUUUGUCAGUUUAGAGCCACCAGCCUUUGUCCUCCCACUCGAUGCCCCUGUGAGAAGCCCACCUGCAGCUCUCUAGCAGGGCCCCUUCAGGUUCUUUAAUGGAAGAAGAACUGAAUAUCACGUCAGCAACUGCCUAUUACUUCUUGGCAGAAAGGUCUGCAUGAGCAUUUGAGGCAACCUGGCUAUGAAAUAAUGGUUGAGUUGGCUCACUUCUACAGAGGAAGAAACUUAAAUGAGCUCCAUCUUAAAGUCAUUGCUUUUAAAAUAUCAAAUAAUGAUUGCAGAGGGAGAGAGGACAGUGUGUGUGGCUGUGUGCAGUGAGGGGGAUCCAUCUCUGGCUACAGCCCCACUGUGAGAGCUGUUGGUGCUGGAGCACAAGUCUGGCACCUCAACACAGCCUUAGGAGUUUAGUUUAAUGUCCUGGAAAUAAACCAGAGUGGGUUUGCCACCCUGGCUGGGAAAAAGCUGCUGGUUUGGCCAUUCUGUGAACAUGAGGACAAAGCAGUUUGCUUUGUAAAGGCCCCUGCCAGGGGGAAUCAGCAACCACCAGUGGGGACAAGUGCAGAAGGGGUGGGAGAACUCUCACAGGCUAAUCAGAGAUCUUAUUUUCUAUGGGUAAGCACUGCAGAAAGAGGCUAAUUCCUGGGUCCCUUCACUGCCAUACACAAAAAGCUGCUGACCAAAGUCCUUACUACUGCACUGAGCUCUCCCCCACAUGCAUUUCCCCACUCCAGCACUCCCACUAUAGAAAGUUCCAGAGUGGGAAUAGUUCAGCAUUUCAAACUAGUAACAAGCAUGAAUUGGUUCAACUUUGUGUUCUUCCUCCAGAAAAGCAGUUCCAAAGGGAAGGAUCUGUGCCAUGGAACACAGGUCCCACUGCUGGAUUUGUGAUCUCUUGCUCUGACAAGCAAGAGAGUGGUUGUGCUUCCUCCAGCACCACUCCUUUAGCAGGCAAAGAAAUGGACUCUUCCAGGAGUGGAAGGGGCAGCACUGCUGGAACAUGAAGCUGGUCUCCCCCACUAGACACACCCACAGUCCUACAGACAUUGGCAAAAUUUUAAUGACAGUACUCAAACUGUACAACAGAGGGGCAGUGGUUAUGCUGACUGUACACAGUGUUUCUCCAGCCCCUGCCCACACACUGGUUUCAUUUUAAAAACAAAGCUUAUAAAAAUGCACAAUUCUCUCCCAAGGUACUGUACACUAUUCAGCAGGUUAAAAACUGGAAAAAAAACCCUUUCAUUAAAAAAGUCAUUGCACUAUUUCUAUACAUCAGGGAUAGUCUACAUAAUCAUGUUCAUCUAGAAAAUAUGUGCAUUAUAAACCAUGUCCAUGCAAUGCAGCAAUUCCUCAUUUCAAAGGUGGUAUAAAAAGACAACACAGCAGUCCUAACUACUAGAACACUUUAUGUGAAACAAAACAAAUGUGCAUCAUGAUAGUGAAUGUGUUAGAUGAAUAAAAUACAACAA